rnacentral:rRNA from 1 species
AUUGAACGCUGGCGGCAUGCCUUACACAUGCAAGUCGAACGGCAGCACGGGAGCAAUCCUGGUGGCGAGUGGCGAACGGGUGAGUAAUAUAUCGGAACGUGCCCAGUCGUGGGGGAUAACGCAGCGAAAGCUGUGCUAAUACCGCAUACGAUCUAUGGAUGAAAGCGGGGGAUCGCAAGACCUCGCGCGAUUGGAGCGGCCGAUAUCAGAUUAGCGAGUUGGUGAGGUAAAGGCUCACCAAGGCGACGGUCUGUAGCUGGUCUGGGAGGACGACCAGCCAGAAUGGAACUGAGACACGGUCCAGACGCCUACGGGAGGCAGCAGUGUGGAAUUUUGGACAAUGGGCGAAAGCCUGAUCCAGCAAUGCCGCGUGCAGGAUGAAGGCCUUCGGGUUGUAAACUGCUUUUGUACGGAACGAAACGGUGAGCUCUAAUACAGUUUGCUAAUGACGGUACCGUAAGAAUAAGCACCGGCUAACUACGUGCCAGCAGCCGCGGUAA